rnacentral:rRNA from 1 species
GACGAACGCUGGCGGCGUGCCUAAUACAUGCAAGUUGAGCGCUGAAGGUUGGUACUUGUACCAACUGGAUGAGCAGCGAACGGGUGAGUAACGCGUGGGGAAUCUGCCUUUGAGCGGGGGACAACAUUUGGAAACGAAUGCUAAUACCGCAUAAAAACUUUAAACACAAGUUUUAAGUUUGAAAGAUGCCAUUGCAUCACUCAAAGAUGAUCCCGCGUUGUAUUAGCUAGUUGGUGAGGUAAAGGCUCACCAAGGCGAUGAUACAUAGCCGACCUGAGAGGGUGAGCGGCCACAUUGGGACUGAGACACGGCCCAAACUCCUACGGGAGGCAGCAGGAGGGAAUCUUCGGCAAGGGACGAAAGGCUGACCGAGCAACGCCGCGUGAGUGAAGAAGGGUUUCGGAUCGUAAAACUCGGUUGGUAGAGAAGAACGUUGGUGAGAGUGGAAAGCUCAUCAAGUGACGGUAACUACCCAGAAAGGGACGGCUAACUACGUG